rnacentral:lncRNA from 1 species
UCCUCUCGUUCUUGCCUUAUCUACUUCUCACUCUUUCACUGCCAUCCUUGCAUUGUCGCGCUGCCGUCAUCUCUCCAUCAUUGUUUCUCGCCUUCUCUCCUUCUUCCUCUUCUCGCACUCUCUAUUUUCAUUCUCUCUUCCAUUGUUCUCGCCAUCACGUUGUCGUUCUCUCCUUCUUCCUCUUUUCGCGCUCUCUAUUUCCGGUCA